GGAAAGUUUCGCGAAACAGGGUGAUAGCCCCGUACACGAAACGGUUAGUUGGACAUAUUAAGUAGGGCGGGGCACGUGAAACCUUGUCUGAAGAUCGGGGGACCAUCCUCGAAGGCUAAAUACUCGUUAUCGACCGAUAGUGAACCAGUACCGUGAGGGAAAGGCGAAAAGAACCCCGGAGAGGGGAGUGAAAUAGAACCUGAAACCGUGUGCAUACAAGCAGUCGGAGCGGACAUGUUCCGUGACGGCGUACCUUUUGUAUAAUGGGUCAGCGACUUUGUCUCUCGAGCAAGCUUAAGCCGGUAGGUGUAGGCGCAGCGAAAGCGAGUCUGAAUAGGGCGCUAUAGUUAGUAGUGGUAGACGCGAAACCGUGUGAUCUACCCAUGGGCAGGUUGAAGCUCUGGUAACACAGAGUGGAGGACCGAA
rnacentral:rRNA from 1 species